UANACAUGCAAGUCGAGCGGACAGAAGGGAGCUUGCUCCCGGAUGUUAGCGGCGGACGGGUGAGUAACACGUGGGUAACCUGCCUGUAAGACUGGGAUAACUCCGGGAAACCGGAGCUAAUACCGGAUAGUUCCUUGAACCGCAUGGUUCAAGGAUGAAAGACGGUUUCGGCUGUCACUUACAGAUGGACCCGCGGCGCAUUAGCUAGUUGGUGAGGUAACGGCUCACCAAGGCGACGAUGCGUAGCCGACCUGAGAGGGUGAUCGGCCACACUGGGACUGAGACACGGCCCAGACUCCUACGGGAGGCAGCAGUAGGGAAUCUUCCGCAAUGGACGAAAGUCUGACGGAGCAACGCCGCGUGAGUGAUGAAGGUUUUCGGAUCGUAAAGCUCUGUUGUUAGGGAAGAACAAGUGCAAGAGUAACUGCUUGCACCUUGACGGUACCUAACCAGAAAGCCACGGCUAACUACGUGCCAGCAGCCGCGGUAAUACGUAGGUGGCAAGCGUUGUCCGGAAUUAUUGGGCGUAAAGGGCUCGCAGGCGGUUUCUUAAGUCUGAUGUGAAAGCCCCCGGCUCAACCGGGGAGGGUCAUUGGAAACUGGGAAACUUGAGUGCAGAAGAGGAGAGUGGAAUUCCACGUGUAGCGGUGAAAUGCGUAAAGAUGUGGAGGAACACCAGUGGCGAAGGCGACUCUCUGGUCUGUAACUGACGCUGAGGAGCGAAAGCGUGGGGAGCGAACAGGAUUAGAUACCCUGGUAGUCCACGCCGUAAACGAUGAGUGCUAAGUGUUAGGGGGNUNCCGCCCCUUAGUGCUGCAGCUAACGCAUUAAGCACUCCGCCUGGGGGAGUACGGUCGCAAGACUGAAACUCAAAGGAAUUGACGGGGGCCCGCACAAGCGGUGGAAGCAUGUUGUUUUAAUUCGAAGCAACGCGAAGAACCUUACCAGGUCUUGACAUCCUCUGACAACCCUAGAAGAUAGGGCUUUUCCCUUCGGGGAACAAAGUGACAGGGGGGGGCAUGGUUUGCCCCCNAGCUCCGGGCCUGGAAGANUUUGGGUUAAGUCCCCGCAACGAACGCCAACCCUUGGAUCUUAGUUGGCCAGCAUUUCAGUUGGGNNNNUCUUAAGGGGGACUGGCCGGUGACCAANCCGGAAGGAAGGGGGGG
rnacentral:rRNA from 1 species